UUUUUAUUUUACACAAAUUUGUAUUUAUUUGCCAUAAAAAAUUCUUGUUUUAUAAAUUCUAAACAUGAUUUUGCAAUUAAUUUAUCAUAUGCUAGCUUUAAGUUUAACGGGUUUUGGUAUAUUCUAUGAUUUGAAAUAUAUAAAAUUUCCCGUAAGCGAUUUCAAAUGGCAUCAUUCGUUUGGUGGUAAAUUUAAAUUUCUAGCCGUACAAAAUAUGUUUAUACAAUUUACAUAUUUUCUAAUAGCGCUCGUUCAUGAUGUGUCCAGUGGCUGUAUAAAUAGUGAACAUUCAAAAUCUCUAUGUUUUUUCAGGGAUAAUUAUUUUGCUGGUUUGGCAUUUCCUUUGGCGGUUUUUGUGACCAUUAACUUUUGGGUUUUAUAUUGCACAAAAAGAGAAUUAGUUUUUCCUUACACAUUUGUUGAAGUCAUGCCCAACUGGCAUUUACAUGUUUUGCAUACGAAUGUGUCUGUAUUUAUGUUCAUUGAAAUGUUUAUAUGUUUUCGUGAAUAUCCGGAAUUUUGCUCUGGCUUAGUAACAAUUUUAACCUAUAUGAUGUCCUAUAUACUUUGGUUACACUGUAUUAAAUAUUUUGCUGGCUUUUGGGUUUAUCCUUUGCUGAAUGACAAAAGUUUUAAGGAAUUGUAUACAUAUUUUGGCAGUGCUUUGGGACAAGUCGUAAUUAUCUAUAUGCUGGGGGAAAUAUUAAAUAAUGCCAAGUGGUCAUAUGAAUUGGUACAUAAGGAUUGUGGAAAAAAAUGAAAUAUAUUGUGUAGAGAGGAUUUCAAUGGAUUUAAAACCCAACUUUCAAAAGUUCUCCUCCUUCUAACAUUAAAUUUAAA